AAAAACUCCCUUGACGGUACUUAAUGAAUAAGCCCCGGCUAAUUAUGUGCCAGCAGCCGCGGUAAUACAUAAGGGGCGAGCGUUAUCCGGAAUUAUUGGGCGUAAAGGGUGCGUAGGCGGUUUAAUAAGUCUAUAGUUUAAUUUCAGUGCUUAACGCUGUUGUGCUAUAGAAACUGUUUUACUAGAGUGAGUUAGAGGCAAGCGGAAUUCCAUGUGUAGCGGUAAAAUGCGUAAAUAUAUGGAGGAACACCAGAGGCGUAGGCGGCUUGCUGGGACUUUACUGACGCUGAGGCACGAAAGCGUGGGGAGCAAACAGGAUUAGAUACCCUGGUAGUCCACGCCGUAAACGAUGAGUACUAAGUGUCGGGUAAAACCGGUACUGAAGUUAACACAUUAAGUACUCCGCCUGAGUAGUACGUACGCAAGUAUGAAACUUAAAGGAAUUGACGGGACUCCGCACAAGCGGUGGAUCAUGUUGUUUAAUUCGAAGAUACACGAAAAACCUUACCAGGUCUUGACAUUUUCUUGCGAAGUUAUAGAAAUAUAAUGGAGGUUAUCAGGAAAACAGGUGGUGCAUGGUUGUCGUCAGCUCGUGUCGUGAGAUGUUAGGUUAAGUCCUAAAACGAGCGCAACCCUUGUCGUUAAUUGCCAGCAUGUAAUGAUGGGGACUUUAACGAGACUGCCAAUGAAAAAUUGGAGGAAGGUGGGGAUUACGUCAAAUCAUCAUGCCCCUUAUGAUCUGGGCUACAAACGUGAUACAAUGGUUGAUACAAAGAGUAGCUGAAACGCGAGUUCUUAGCCAAUCUCACAAAAUCA
rnacentral:rRNA from 1 species